rnacentral:snRNA from 1 species
GUGCUCACUUGGCAGCACAUAUAUUAAUAUUGAAACAAGAAGAGUAGCAUGGCCCCUGCACAAGGAUGACACACAAAAUCAUAAAAUUUUCCAUAUUUUU